rnacentral:lncRNA from 1 species
CUCGCUUCCUGCGCCUCUUCAGGUCACCGCUUGCUCUAGUUCCCAGGCUUUGGCCUCUAGUGGAUGAGAAUCACCGAGUCUGCGGGGCUGGACGCUGACCGCCCGGGCCAGCACCUAGGCGGGCGGGAGCUGUGCGGCCCAGGGUUCGCGCGGGCCGGGUAGAGGCUCGAGCCGGGACCCCCGAGCGUGAACCCCGGAGCCAGCGGCGCUGGGGCCAGAGGGGCCAGGCGGGAGGUGGUGGCGGAGGCGAAGGGGCGACGGGACCUGGGCCUGGCCCGUGUGUGUCCUCGGCGGCCUGGCGCCGGCCGUCGCUGUACGGUGAGCCCCAGGGAGGCGGAUCUGGGCCCCGAGAAGGACACCCGCCUGGAUUUGCCCCGUAGGCCCGGCCCGGGCCCCUCGGGAGCAGAACAGCCUUGGUGAGGUGGACGGGAGGGGACUUCGCGAGCAGACGCGCGCGCCAGCGACAGCAGCCCGCCCCGGCCUCUCGGGAGCCGUGGGGCAGAGGCUGCAGAGCCCCAGGAGGGGGCCAGUGUCAUUCAAAGAUGUGGCUGUGGAUUUCACCCAGGAGGAGUGGUGGCAACUGGACCCUGAUGAGAAGAUAACAUACGGGGAUGUGAUGUUGGAGAACUACAGCCAUCUAGUUUCCCUGGCUUAUGAGGUGGCAACAUCUUGUACUUCGGAGAUCUGAAGCCGAGCAACUUGCCCAAGUCCUUCUUCUUUUCCCAUUAACAAGAUAUGAUAUCACCAAGCCAAACGUCAUCAUUAAGUUGGAGCAGGGAGAGGAGCUGUGGAUAACGGGAGGUGAAUUUCCAUGUCAACAUAGUCCAGCAUUUAUUUGAAAGAUAAACCUCUUGGAUGUGACUCUGGAGACAAGACCAGCAGCUCGAGACCAUUCAAUCCAAGGUAUAAAAUGGGAG